rnacentral:rRNA from 1 species
UACGGGCUUAGUCCGUGCCGAUGGACAGCAGAUCAGGUUCGCGUGCAUCACCUUGACGGUAGGGUAAUGGCCUACGGUGGGAUUAACGCACACGGGGUGUUAGGGCACGACUCCGGAGAAUGAGCAUGAGAGACGGCUCAUAGUUCUAAGGAAGGCAGCAGGCGCGGAAAUUGCCCAAUGUACCGUUGUGUACGAGGCAGUGACGAGGCGUCGUGAGUCACUUAGGUGACAUUACGAUGAGUGAGGUGUACAGACCCUCGCAAAUGCAAGUCGUGGGAAAGCAUGGUGCCAGCAGCCGCGGUAAUUCCAUCAUGACUAACUCAUUCUUACGGUGCUGCAGUUAAAGCGUCCGUAGCUGGCGNGCCUGCCGACUCGAGGAACUCUCGACGCCCAACGUAGCGAGCGCGGUGAGCUGCAGCGAGUUACGGCAACAACAACUAUCGCUAUAGGACAGGGGAAGGCUCCUUCUAUUAUAGGGGGACAGGUGAAAUAGGAUGAUGCCUAUAGGAGGAACAAGUGCGCAGGCACUGAGUCGUCCCCGGUUCGUUGGUCAAGGGCGUUAUCGUGGGGCUAGACGAUGAUUAGAGACCGUUUUACUCCACGUCGUAAACGAUGCUACCUCGCUGUGCGCUGUUCAAACACGUGCUUAGCGAAGAGAAAUCGAAGUGUACGACCCCUGGGGGGAGUAUGCUCGCAAGGGUGAAACUUGAAAGUAUUGACGGAAAGAUACCACCAGACGUGGAGUCUGCGGCUUAAUUUGACUCAACGCGCCAAUCUUACUAGACCCAGAUGCU